GACGAACGCUGGCGGCGUGCUUAACACAUGCAAGUCGAACGGAAAGGCCCUGCUUUUGUGGGGUGCUCGAGUGGCGAACGGGUGAGUAACACGUGAGUAACCUGCCCUUGACUUUGGGAUAACUUCAGGAAACUGGGGCUAAUACCGGAUAGGAGCUCCUGCUGCAUGGUGGUGGUUGGAAAGUUUCGGCGGUUGGGGAUGGACUCGCGGCUUAUCAGCUUGUUGGUGGGGUAGGGGCUUACCAAGGCUUUGACGGGUAGCCGGCCUGAGAGGGUGACCGGCCACAUUGGGACUGAGAUACGGACCAGACUCCUACGGGAGGCAGCAGUGGGGAAUAUUGCACAAUGGGCGGAAGCCUGAUGCAGCAACGCCGCGUGCGGGAUGACGGCCUUCGGGUUGUAAACCGCUUUCGCCUGUGACGAAGCGUGAGUGACGGUAAUGGGUAAAGAAGCACCGGCUAACUACGUG
rnacentral:rRNA from 1 species